GCAAACACCAGGAAGAGCAAUGAGGACGCAUGGCCUAGCGAACAAGAAAUCAAGCCUCGUGUCACAGCUGAUUGUCGCGUGAAACGUUAUCCAUCCUGAUUGGCUAAUUAGCUCGAAUUUCCGGUUACGCAGGAGUGAUACAUUUGCAUAAAGAUUCUCCCCAAAACCCAUGGAUGUAUCCACGAGUAAAAAUGCUUUUAAAUUACUUUAAUUG